UGGCCCUACGGGGCGCAGCAGUGGGGAAUAUUGCACAAUGGGGGAAACCCUGAUGCAGCGACGCCGCGUGAGCGAAGAAGUAUUUCGGUAUGUAAAGCUCUAUCAGCAGGGAAGAAAAAUGACGGUACCUGAGUAAGAAGCACCGGCUAAAUACGUGCCAGCAGCCGCGGUAAUACGUAUGGUGCAAGCGUUAUCCGGAUUUACUGGGUGUAAAGGGAGCGCAGGCGGGGCGGCAAGUCUGCUGUGAAAGCCCGGGGCUCAACCCCCGGACUGCAGUGGAAA
rnacentral:rRNA from 1 species